GCCGUUGACAGAAUGCAGGCGGGAAGCUUCAGUUUGGGUAGAGAUGUAGCAUCAAACAUUCACGGAUGUCCAGGGAGCACGGGCACACAGGCUGCUGGCCAGAGACUAUUAUGAGCACAAUACACUAGUCAUGUCGGAGAUAACAGCUUGACCUCAGCGUGGCUGCAAAAUGAAGCCACGUUUGGCUUUCCUAAGCCAUCAGGAGGCUGCUCACAGUGCUGCUGGACUCUUUAAGCCCUGAGGUCAUGUGAAAAGAAGUUUGCCCUGUGUCCUUCUGUCUCCUGUUGGCUGUCCACAAGAUGGAGAAGGCGGAAGCAACCUGAGGCGUCCUCUUUGUCUGUAAAGAUAGAGAGUCCAUUGUGGAAGGGGGAGAUACAGGAACUAUAUAGGCGAGGCCCUACCGGCCUGCAUCUCUUAUCUCCAGAAUUCUUUUACAGAAAAGAAAAAAAAUAAACUUUUAUCUGGCUUAAGCCAC
rnacentral:lncRNA from 1 species